UUAAGUUCAGCGGGUAGUCUCACCCGAUUUGAGGUCAAGGUUUUUUGUGGGUCCAGCCUCCCGCCAACGUAAAUGGCGACGACCGGAGCACCAUCAUUGUCCGUGAGACAGUUAGGAGCGGACGUCCAGAAAACAGUGCCAAAUCCAAAACGUAGAAGCAUCUUAUCACGUCAAGGAUCAGCAAAGCGGACCCCACUAAU
rnacentral:misc_RNA from 1 species